rnacentral:rRNA from 1 species
GUAGGGAAUAUUGGGCAAUGGUCGGAAGACUGACCCAGCCAUGCCGCGUGCAGGAAGACGGCCCUCUGGGUUGUAAACUGCUUUUAUCUGGGAAGAAAAAGGCCAUGCGUGGCAAAUUGCCGGUACCAGAUGAAUAAGCACCGGCUAACUCCGUGCCAGCAGCCGCGGUAAUACGGAGGGUGCGAGCGUUGUCCGGAUUUAUUGGGUUUAAAGGGUGCGUAGGCGGCUGAUUAAGUCAGCGGUGAAAGACUUCGGCUUAACCGGAGCAGUGCCGUUGAUACUGGUUGGCUUGAGUGUCGGAGGGGUACAUGGAAUUGAUGGUGUAGCGGUGAAAUGCAUAGAUACCAUCAGGAACACCGAUAGCGAAGGCAUUGUACUGGCCGACAACUGACGCUGAUGCACGAAAGUGUGGGGAUCGAACAGGAUUAGAUAACCUAGUAGUCC